GCAUUGUUGUGGAGUCCUAUAAUAGGACGAAACGGUCGUCCAGUGC
rfam:Schistosoma mansoni strain Puerto Rico chromosome 1, complete genome